rnacentral:rRNA from 1 species
UACGAAGGGGGCUAGCGUUGCUCGGAAUCACUGGGCGUAAAGGGUGCGUAGGCGGGUCUUUAAGUCGGGGGUGAAAUCCUGGAGCUCAACUCCAGAACUGCCUUCGAUACUGGCGAUCUUGAGUCCGGAAGAGGUGAGUGGAACUCCUAGUGUAGAGGUGGAAUUCGUAGAUAUUAGGAAGAACACCAGUGGCGAAGGCGGCUCACUGGUCCGGUACUGACGCUGUGGCGCGAAAGCUAGGGGAGCAAACGGG